GGAAAACGGAAGGAAUAGAUGGUAGAAAAUUGAGAUGCAGGGAAUCGGAAUCAGAGAGAGAUGGCAAUAAAAAGGAGAGGAAAACGGAAGGAAUAGGUAAUUCCGGCAUGUUGCUGUUACAAUUGGCGCAUUCAAUGCAUGGCAAUAAAAAGGAGAGGAAAACGGAAGGAAUAGGUAAUUCCGGCAUGUUGCUGUUACAAUUGGCGCAUUCAAUGCGUAUGUUAGUUUUAUUUUUGUUCUAGCUGUUUGUUAUCCAUUUUGGUAUUUGACAUAGGGUAUUGUGUGUAUGCAUUUUUGAAAUACUUUUAUGUUUUUAAUGAAAAUGUCGAUUGAAAUCAAAACUUUCAUUGUACGUACCCAAAAACAUUUUUAUGUGCUACAAAUAUGGUAUUUUAACAUUCUCUGAUAAAAACUUUUAAAUAUAUUCAAAACAAAUAUUUUAUUCAUCAGAGUAAAUGUCUAAUCCUUACAUGACUUUUCUUUUGA
rnacentral:misc_RNA from 1 species